AGUCGGCUACGGAACGAACGCUGGCGGCAGGCCUAACACAUGCAAGUCGAACGCUCGUAGCAAUACGAGAGUGGCAGACGGGUGAGUAACACGUGGGAACCUUCCCUAUGGUUCGGAAUAGCCCAGGGAAACUUGGGGUAAUACCGGAUAAGCCCUUACGGGGAAAGAUUUAUCGCCAUUGGAUGGGCCCGCGUCGGAUUAGCUAGUUGGUGGGGUAACGGCUCACCAAGGCGACGAUCCGUAGCUGGUCUGAGAGGAUGAUCAGCCACACUGGGACUGAGACACGGCCCAGACUCCUACGGGAGGCAGCAGUGGGGAAUAUUGGACAAUGGGCGCAAGCCUGAUCCCAGCCAUGCCGCGUGAGUGACGAAGGCCUUAGGGUUGUAAAGCUCUUUUGGCGGGGAAGAUAAUGACGGUACCCGCAGAAUAAGCUCCGGCUAACUUCGUGCCAGCCGCAGC
rnacentral:rRNA from 1 species